rnacentral:rRNA from 1 species
GCGAACGCUGGCGGCAGGCUUAACACAUGCAAGUCGAGCGGGCAUCCUUGUGGUGUCAGCGGCAGACGGGUGAGUAACGCGUGGGAACGUGCCCUUCGGUUCGGAAUAACUCAGGGAAACUUGAGCUAAUACCGGAUACGUGCGAGAGCAGAAAGGUUUAUCUGCCGAAGGAUCGGCCCGCGUCUGAUUAGCUAGUUGGUGAGGUUAUGGCUCACCAAGGCGACGAUCAGUAGCUGGUCUGAGAGGAUGAUCAGCCACACUGGGACUGAGACACGGCCCAGACUCCUACGGGAGGCAGCAGUGGGGAAUAUUGGACAAUGGGGGCAACCCUGAUCCAGCCAUGCCGCGUGAGUGAUGACGGCCUUAGGGUUGUAAAGCUCUUUUCUCCGGGACGAUAAUGACGGUACCGGAGGAAUAAGCCCCGGCUAACUUCGUG